rnacentral:rRNA from 1 species
AGAGUUUGAUCAUGGCUCAGAACGAACGCUGGCGGCAUGCCUAAUACAUGCAAGUCGAACGAGACCUUCGGGUCUAGUGGCGCACGGGUGCGUAACGCGUGGGAAUCUGCCCUUGGGUUCGGAAUAACAGUUGGAAACGACUGCUAAUACCGGAUGAUGACGAAAGUCCAAAGAUUUAUCGCCCAGGGAUGAGCCCGCGUAGGAUUAGCUAGUUGGUAAGGUAAAGGCUUACCAAGGCGACGAUCCUUAGCUGGUCUGAGAGGAUGAUCAGCCACACUGGGACUGAGACACGGCCCAGACUCCUACGGGAGGCAGCAGUAGGGAAUAUUGGACAAUGGGGGCAACCCUGAUCCAGCAAUGCCGCGUGAGUGAUGAAGGCCUUAGGGUUGUAAAGCUCUUUUACCCGGGAUGAUAAUGACAGUACCGGGAGAAUAAGCCCCGGCUAACUCCGUGCCAGCAGCCGCGGUAAUUC